rnacentral:other from 1 species
AGGAUCCUGAGGUGUGCGUAAUACCUGUAAUUUUGAACCUGCUAUUAUUGACUUGGGAGCUGGAAGUUUAAUCAUGUAGUACAGGCCGCAAGCUAAUUCCGUCACGAAAGUGGCGGCGGUGGAAGUAUAAAAUGGUUAACAGGCACCCACCUGGUUGAGAGCCAGGUGUCAACAUACAGGGAACGGCACCUUGGGAGCAAA